UUACAUCAUUCGCAUAUUUUAUAGUAAUAUUAAAUCAUACGAGUAAUGAAAUAUGAAAUAUAAAAUGAACGUCUUUAAGCGUACUUCCGAUAACACGUGUAAUAUGAUAUGUCUAUAUGUUAGAAUAUUCAUGUGUCCAAACGUUCUAAGAAUUAACAGCAGAUGCGUAUAAUAGCAAUUACUUUUUAUUCACUGCGAAAACCAGCGGUCCCCACACACUGCAAUAAUCACAUUUCGCAAGCAUUAGUUCAGUAAUAUAUACACAUAAAGAAAGCUACAGCGGCAGCUAGAAAUUAGGUGAAAAUAUCUAUACACGUGUAGCAUGAACAUAUCAAUACUUUACUAUAUUAUGAGUACAGACACGUUCAAGACGGUACAUAUAAUACGCACGCACGCUCGCAGAUGCACGAACGCAUACACUCACGCAAACACGCGCGAGGGCACGUCCGCACGCACGCACGCAUGCAGACACAAACGCAUACGCAUUCGUGCGCACGCACGCGCCCACGCGCGCACACACGCUGAACCACCCUAGUAUAAACCUAUAUCCAGGUAAUAUGUAAUUUAUCCGCAAACAAAUCAAGUAUACAAUCUCGGAACUCUUCCAAACACAUUAAACAAUUCAGCGACGUAUAAGUUUAAUCAUCAUACUUGCGCGAGUGUACAAAGCAAAUCGGUGGAAUAAAUACAACACAUCUCGGUUCUGUUUCAUAGUACACAAACAUUCAGCACCUAUACCACCACCUGCCAGACAACCCCCCUCGUAAGAUUGCAAGCCCUGCUUCCAACACACGUACCUACCACAAUUUAUUUCCAAUUACACAGCGAAACAUUGAGAACACAGCGCCCCCUUGAUACGAGACCCCAGCGCGACGGCGGCGCCACCUAGACGAUGCAUGGCGUAAAAAACGAAUCCGCCUUUUGACCCCCUCACUAGAGGUGGGAAGAUUCAUCGAUAAAUCGAUGUAUCAUGAUACAAACCUUACCGGUACACGCAUCGAUACGUUUAUCCAUUCACGAUACACAAUUCGAUGCUCUACUGAAUAAAAUCCAUAUAAUUUAGUAGCAUAGUUUCGUCGAAAAACAAAAGAUACAUGACACAAUUGGCAAUUCAAUAGCAGUUGUUUACUAAGCACUCCACAAUACUGAUUUGUAACCGUUCACCAAGUGUACAGUUUGCCAAGCACCUUCUCCUGAAAGUAUCGUGAUACGUAUUGUGAUAAAUAUCGAUAUAAUCAAAAAGGUGUAUCAUGAUACGUUACGUAUCGUGAAAGGUGUGUCGUGACACGUAUCGUACCGUAAGAGGUGUAUCGUGACACGUAUCAUAUCGUGAAAGGUGUAUCAUGAUACGUAUCGUACCGUAAGAGGUGUAUCGUGACACGUAUCGUAUCGUGAAAGGUGUAUCGUGACACGUAUCGUAUCGUAAAAGGUUGUAUCGUGAUACAUAUCGUAUCGUGAAAGGUUGUAUCGUGAAAGGUUGUAUCGUGAUACGUAUCAUACCGUAAGAGGUGUAUCGUGAUACGUAUCGUAUCGUGAAAGGUGUAUCGUGACACAUAUCGUAUCAUAAAAGGUUGUAUCGUGAUACAUAUCGUAUCGUGAAAGGUGUAUCGUGAUACGUAUCGUAUCGUGAAAGGUGUAUCGUGAUACACAUCGUAUCAUAAAAGGUUGUAUCAUGAUACGUAUCGUAUCGUGAAAGGUGUAUCGUGACAUGCAUCGUAUCAUAAAAGGUUGUAUCGUGAUACAUAUCAUAUCGUGAAAGGUUGUAUCGUGAUACGUAUCGUAUCGUGAAAGGUGUAUCGUGAUACGUAUCGUAUCGUGAAAGGUGUAUCGUGAUACACAUCGUAUCAUAAAAGGUUGUAUCGUGAUACGUAUCGUAUCGUGAAAGGUGUAUCGUGAUACGUAUCGUAUCGUGAAAGGUUUGUCGUGACACGCAUCGUAUCGUAAAAGGUUGUAUCGUGAUACGUAUCGUAUCGUGAAA
rnacentral:lncRNA from 1 species